GAAGCAACAAGCCCAAUGUGACUCGGCAAUUUGGUGGCAGACCCUGAGAUAUCAUCCAGGUUUCCUGAUGCCCAAGCCCUUUCCUUUGUCCAUUGUGUCUGCUGCCUGAUCGCAAAAUAGAUACUGAAGAACAAGAUAUACCGACAAGAAGAACACUUUAAAGGAAACAUAAGAGGACUUGAAAUGUAGCACAGCUCAGAUUUGAUUCUCUGGACAACAAAGAAAAAAUAUAACCCCAGCGUUAAGAAUACUGAUAAUUCUGAAGAGGGGAAAUGAAAACUUUGGAUGUUCCUCUGCCUCAUUUGGCUGUUAUACCUGUACUGAAACUACUUUGAUUAAGAAAACAAACACAAAAAUUAACCCAACAGACUUUACAAGUGAUUUUAAAGUAUUUUAACAAGUGUAGGUUUUGUUAAUAUAAUUAUAUCCUGCCAUGUGUGAAGAAAUGUUUGGAAUAUUCAGUGAUAGUGAACCCCUAAGACAUCAUGAGACAUCCUUACCUUGCAU